UGCAGAUUCUGGACUUGCUGGCCUCCAUAGUAAUGUGUCAACAAUUUUGGCAUUGCAGAAGACCAUGGAGACAACUUUUUUAUUUCUCCAUCACACAAGGACUGAAGAUACAAAAAUGAGUCUUUCUUUCCUAUGGCCUUGGACUAGCUAUAUAUGAUAGUAAUUAGCAAGCAGGCUCUGAAUUACACGAGCCCCUCCCACUGACUCUUGUACUUUUUAGCUAUAAGAACCUAAGCACGAACUUCGCAGAGCUCCAGUGCUUCUGUUUUGAAAAGAGAUAAUAUUUCCUAUGGGAUAGGGUUGUCUGAGGGGUACUAAAUGAGAAAUACAUACAAAGUACUUAAUGGAAGGCAUGUAGGACUCAAUAGAGGUAGCUAUUAAAUUGUAUGUAAGUAAUAAAUCCUGAUAAUAUUCAAUUCUGAAUAAAACUUAGCAAGGUA
rnacentral:lncRNA from 1 species